rfam:Danio rerio chromosome 12 genomic contig CTG1221, GRCz11 reference primary assembly.
GGCACUGUGGCCUAGCUGGUCAAAGUGCCUGCCUUGUAAACAGGAGAUCCUGGGUUCAGAUCCCAGCAGUGCCU